rnacentral:piRNA from 1 species
UGUGCAGAUACGCUGCUGGAGAGGUAGCUG